rnacentral:misc_RNA from 1 species
GAUCAAAAUUAUCCUUCUAUUAAUUGAUUGAUGCUUUUUUUCGUAAGCAUGAAAAGUAUAACUUUAAGAACUCAAUGCCCAUUAAAAUUGAAAAACACAUAAUCGAAUAUAACUUGACCAAAUCAAGAAUGCAUCCGAAAGAACAAAGUCCAAACAAAUCAAAAUCAAUUAAGAAUGUGCUGAAGAUAGCAAAGAAAUAAUGAAACGACAUUAGGCUUUAUUAACUGACAGUAAA